UGAAUACGAGACGCUAAGGCGUUGAAGUAGUGUAUGUCAUACUUCCAAGAAAAGCUUGCACUGUCAUAGAUAAAAAACGCCUGUACCAUAACCGACACAGGUGGGUAGGUAGAGUAUACUAAGGGGCGCGAGAUAACUCUCUCUAAGGAACUCGGCAAAAUAACUCCGUAACUUCGGGAGAAGGAGUGCCUUAUUUAUAAGGCUGCAAUAACAAGAUCCAAGCAACUGUUUAUCAAAAACACAGGUCUCCGCUAAGUCGUAAGACGAUGUAUGGGGGCUGACGCCUGCCCAGUGCCAGAAGGUUAAAGAAGUUGGUUAGCAAUAGCGAAGCUGAUAACUGAAGCCCUGGUGAACGGCGGCCGUAACCAUAACGGUCCUAAGGUAGCGAAAUUCCUUGUCGGGUAAGUUCCGACCCGCACGAAAGGCGUAAUGAUUUGGAUACUGUCUCGGAGAGGGGCUCGGUGAAAUAGACUUGUCUGUGAAGAUGCGGACUACCUGCACCAGGACAGAAAGACCCUAUGAAGCUUUACUGUAACUUGAAAUUGAAAUUGGACUUUAUUCGCGCAGUAUAGGUGGGAGGCGUUGAUUGUAAUCUUGCGGGAUUAUUGGAGCCAUCAGUGAGAUACCACCCUUGUAAUGUUAGAUUUCUAACUUUGAAUCAUUAUCUGGUCAAAGAACAGUUUCAGGCGGGCAGUUUGACUGGGGCGGUCGCCUCCUAAACGGUAACGGAGGCGUACAAAGGUUUCCUCUGAACGGUUUGAAAUCGUAUCUAGAGUGUAAAGGCAUAAGGAAGCUUGACUGUGAGACCUACAAGUCGAGCAGGGACGAAAGUCGGUCUUAGUGAUCUGACGGUACUGAGUGGAAAGGCCGUCACUCAACGGAUAAAAGUUACUCUAGGGAUAACAGGCUGAUCUCCCCCAAGAGUUCACAUCGACGGGGAGGUUUGGCACCUCGACGUCGGCUCAUCGCAUCCUGGGGCGGUAGUACGUCCCAAGGGUUGGGCUGUUCGCCCAUGAAAGCGGUACGCGAGCUGGGUUCAGAACGUCGUGAGACAGUUCGGUCCAUAUCCGGUGUAGGCGUUAGAAUAUUGAGAGGAGCCUUCUUUAGUACGAGAGGACCGAGAAGGACAUACCUCUGGUGUACCAGUUAUCGUGCCAACGGUAAACGCUGGGUAGCUAUGUAUGGAGUGGAUAACCGCUGAAAGCAUCUAAGUGGGAAGCCCACCUCAAGAUAAGUAUUC
rnacentral:rRNA from 1 species